UACGUAGGGUGCAAGCGUUGCCCGGAUUUAUUGGGCGUAAAGCGCGCGCAGGCGGUCCUUUAAGUCUGAUGUGAAAUCCCACGGCUCAACCGUGGAAGGUCAUUGGAAACUGGGGGACUUGAGUACAGAAGAGGAAAGCGGAAUUCCAAGUGUAGCGGUGAAAUGCGUAGAGAUUUGGAGGAACACCAGUGGCGAAGGCGGCUUGCUGGGACGGUACUGACGCUGAGGCGCGAAAGCGUGGGGAGCAAACAGG
rnacentral:rRNA from 1 species